UACGUAGGGUGCAAGCGUUGUCCGGAAUUAUUGGGCGUAAAGAGCUCGUAGGCGGUUUGUCGCGUCUGCUGUGAAAACCUAGGGCUUAACCCUGGGCCUGCAGUGGGUACGGGCAGACUAGAGUGCGGUAGGGGAGACUGGAAUUCCUGGUGUAGCGGUGAAAUGCGCAGAUAUCAGGAGGAACACCGGUGGCGAAGGCGGGUCUCUGGGCCGUAACUGGACGCUGAGGAGCGAAAGCAUGGGGAGCGAACAGG
rnacentral:rRNA from 1 species